rnacentral:rRNA from 1 species
CACGGGGGGAGCAAGCGUUGUUCGGAAUCACUGGGCGUAAAGGGCGUGUAGGCGGUCAGGUAAGUGAGAUGUGAAAUGCCCCGGCUCACCCGGGGACCGGCAUCUCAUACUGCUUGGCUUGAGUACGGGAGAGGGUGUGGGAAUUCCUGGUGUAGCGGUGAAAUGCGUAGAUAUCAGGAGGAACACCGGUGGCGAAGGCGCACACCUGGCCCGAUACUGACGCUGAGGCGCGAAAGCUAGGGGAGCAAACGGG